GAGGAUGUGGCUCAAUUGGUAGAGAGACUGCCUGGCAAGCACAAAGCCCUGGGUUCUAACCCCAGCACUCUGU
rnacentral:tRNA from 1 species